ensembl:lncRNA
CGCGAGAGACAUUUGAGAGCAUAUCCUGUCCUACAGAAAACUGGUCCUACACGCGAGAGACAUUUGAGAGCAUAUCCUGUCCUACAGAAAACUGGUCCUACACGCGAGAGACAUUUGAGAGCAUAUCCUGUCCUACAGAAAACUGGUCCUACACGCGAGAGACAUUUGAGAGCAUAUCCUGUCCUACAGAAAACUGGUCCUACACGCGAGAGACAUUUGAGAGCAUAUCCUGUCCAGCUAAGUAGCCACGAUGGCCAAUGAACCAGAGGGUAACUGACUGUAUUCAUCAUUGUUAUACAGUUUUACUAUCAACGUCCUCUCCUCACUCUGGCACCAACAGGAUAUGUGCCACCUUUGCCUUAGAAUUUCAGAAUUUCAAACAUUUGGGGACUUCUGGGAGACUUGUAUUGAUAUCUAUAUUUUUGGGAAGUUUUUUUUGUUGAAUUAUUUUGAGGCCUCUGGACUUAUGAUGAAUUCUAACCCGAAACAAAGACACAAACAGGCAGACAAACUUUUCUAACCCUUUUCCAGCACUGGCCUGAGGAGCCAAGCCUUCUCUCCUGGGGUUAUAUUAGGAGCCAAGCCUUCUCUCCUGGGGUUAUAUUAGGAGCCUUCUCUCCUGGGGUUAUAUUAGGAGCCUUCUCUCCUGGGGUUAUAUUAGGAGCCAAGCCUUCUCUCCUGGGGUUAUAUUAGGAGCCAAGCCUUCUCUCCUGGGGUUAUAUUAGGAGCCAAGCCUUCUCUCCUGGGGUUAUAUGAGGAGCCAAGCCUUCUCUCCUGGGGUUAUAUUAGGAGCCAAGCCUUCUCUCCUGGGGUUAUAUGAGGAGCCAAGCCUUCUCUCCUGGGGUUAUAUUAGGAGCCUUCUCUCCUGGGGUUAUAUGAGGAGCCAACCCUUCUCUCCUGGGGUUAUAUUAGGAGCCAAGCCUUCUCUCCUGGGGUUAUAUUAGGAGCCAAGCCUUCUCUCCUGGGGUUAUAUUAGGAGCCAAGCCUUCUCUCCUGGGGUUAUAUUAGGAGCCAAGCCUUCUCUCCUGGGGUUAUAUUAGGAGCCAAGCCUUCUCUCCUGGGGUUAUAUUGGGGAGCCAAGCCUUCUCUCCUGGGGUUAUAUGAGGAGCCAAGCCUUCUCUCCUGGGGUUAUAUUAGGAGCCAAGCCUUCUCUCCUGGGGUUAUAUUAGGAGCCUUCUCUCCUGGGGUUAUAUUAGGAGCCAAGCCUUCUCUCCUGGGGUUAUAUUAGCCAAGCCUUCUCUCCUGGGGUUAUAUUAGGAGCCAAGCCU